rnacentral:rRNA from 1 species
GACGAACGCUGGCGGCGUGCCUAAUACAUGCAAGUAGAACGCACAGUUUAUACCGUAGCUUGCUACACCAUAGACUGUGAGUUGCGAACGGGUGAGUAACGCGUAGGUAACCUGCCUGGAAGCGGGGGAUAACUAUUGGAAACGAUAGCUAAUACCGCAUAAUAUUAAUUAUUGCAUGAUAAUUAAUUGAAAGGUGCAAUUGCACCACUACCAGAUGGACCUGCGUUGUAUUAGCUAGUAGGUGAGGUAACGGCUCACCUAGGCGACGAUACAUAGCCGACCUGAGAGGGUGAUCGGCCACACUGGGACUGAGACACGGCCCAGACUCCUACGGGAGGCAGCAGUAGGGAAUCUUCGGCAAUAGACGAAAGUCUGACCGAGCAACGCCGCGUGAGUGAAGAAGGUUUUCGGAUCGUAAAGCUCUGUUGUAAGAGAAGAACGGGUGUGAGAGUGGAAAGUUCACACUGUGACGGUAUCUUACCAGAAAGGGACGGCUAACUACGUG